rnacentral:rRNA from 1 species
CCUGAUUUCUAUAGGAGGUCUAGCCUGCCCAGUGACAAAGUUAAACGGCCGCGGUACCCUAACCGUGCAAAGGUAGCGCAAUCACUUGUUCUUUAAAUGAGGACUAGUAUGAACGGCAUCACGAGGGUUAUGCUGUCUCCCUACUUUAUUCAGUGAAACUGAUCUCCCCGUGAAGAAGCGGGGAUAAAAAUAUAAGACGAGAAGACCCCAUGGAGCUUUAAACUCAGUAUCAACUGCUACAUUUAAAACCUAAUACACAAGCAACCUCUGACUACUAGUUUUCGGUUGGGGUGACCACGGAGUAAAACCUAACCUCCACGAUGAAAGGAAAUAACAACCUAAAUUAAGAGCUACAACUCUAAAUAUCAAUAAAUUGACUAAUUGAUCCAAUUAAUUGAUCAACGAACCA